UACGGAGGGUCCAAGCGUUAUCCGGAAUCAUUGGGUUUAAAGGGUCCGUAGGCGGUUUUGUAAGUCAGUGGUGAAAGCCCAUCGCUCAACGGUGGAACGGCCAUUGAUACUGCAAGACUUGAGUUAUUAGGAAGUAACUAGAAUAUGUAGUGUAGCGGUGAAAUGCUUAGAUAUUACAUGGAAUACCAAUUGCGAAGGCAGGUUACUACUAAUUGAUUGACGCUGAUGGACGAAAGCGUGGGGAGCGAACAGG
rnacentral:rRNA from 1 species